rnacentral:misc_RNA from 1 species
AUCAAGUUGUAGAUUACAGAAUGAUUCUCCUUAAUUCAGUGAAAAUCAGUUCUAUAGUUUCUUAAUCAAUAAGCAUAUCAAAUUCAUCACCGUCCCUACUUUUAAAUCGCCGUGAAAACAUUGGACUAUACGACUAGUCGUCCUCGCAAUUCCAAAUAGAACAAUUAAAAUAUAUAUCUAACGGUCUUAAAUUGAUCAGAGAGAGACCUGGCAUUUGGAGCCAUAUCGGCA